GGUAGCGUGGCCCAGCGGUUUAAGGCGCUAGUUCAAGAUACCAGUUUUUUCGGAGGCGUGAGUCGAAUCCCACCGCUGCCA